AGCAGCGUGGCUCAGUGGAAAGAGCCCGGGCUUGGGAGUCAGAGGUCAGGGGUUCGAAUCCCGGCGCUGCCA
rnacentral:tRNA from 1 species